GCAGUUGUGAUUCAGUGGUAGAUUUCUCACCUUCCAUGCGGGAGGCCUAGGUUCAAUUCCUGACCAGUGCA
rnacentral:tRNA from 1 species